UACGAAGGGGGCUAGCGUUGUUCGGAAUUACUGGGCGUAAAGGGCGCGUAGGCGGUACUUCAAGUCAGGCGUGAAAGCCCCGGGCUCAACCUGGGACCGCGCUUGAGACUGGAGAACUAGAGUUCGGGAGAGGAUGGUGGAAUUCCCAGUGUAGAGGUGAAAUUCGUAGAUAUUGGGAAGACACCGAUGGCGAAGGCAGCCAUCUGGACCGACACUGAC
rnacentral:rRNA from 1 species